GAUGAACGCUGGCGGCGUGCUUAACACAUGCAAGUCGAACGAUGAAGCCCAGCUUGCUGGGUGGAUUAGUGGCGAACGGGUGAGUAACACGUGAGUAACCUGCCCUUAACUCUGGGAUAAGCCUGGGAAACUGGGUCUAAUACCGGAUAGGAGCGUCCACCGCAUGGUGGGUGUUGGAAAGAUUUAUCGGUUUUGGCUGGACUCGCGGCCUAUCAGCUUGUUGGUGAGGUAAUGGCUCACCAAGGCGACGACGGGUAGCCGGCCUGAGAGGGUGACCGGCCACACUGGGACUGAGACACGGCCCAGACUCCUACGGGAGGCAGCAGUGGGGAAUAUUGCACAAUGGGCGCAAGCCUGAUGCAGCGACGCCGCGUGAGGGAUGACGGCCUUCGGGUUGUAAACCUCUUUCAGUAGGGAAGAAGCGAAAGUGACGGUACCUGCAGAAGAAGCACCGGCUAACUACGUG
rnacentral:rRNA from 1 species